rnacentral:rRNA from 1 species
AUUGAACGCUGGCGGCAUGCCUUACACAUGCAAGUCGAACGGCAGCGCGGGGCAACCUGGCGGCGAGUGGCGAACGGGUGAGUAAUAUAUCGGAACGUACCCUGGAGUGGGGGAUAACGUAGCGAAAGUUACGCUAAUACCGCAUACGAUCUAAGGAUGAAAGCAGGGGACCGCAAGGCCUUGUGCUCCUGGAGCGGCCGAUAUCUGAUUAGCUAGUUGGUGGGGUAAAGCCACCAAGGCAUCGAUCAGUAGCUGGUCUGAGAGGACGACCAGCCACACUGGAACUGAGACACGGUCCAGACUCCUACGGGAGGCAGCAGUGGGGAAUUUUGGACAAUGGGCGAAAGCCUGAUCCAGCAAUGCCGCGUGAGUGAAGAAGGCCUGG